rnacentral:lncRNA from 1 species
AUUUUCCCACGGAGUAAGAACCAGAACGCCAGCUGCCCCAGCGGCGCUCGCACCAUCCACCCUUGAAAUUGCCGUAGAAGCCAGCUGAUCUUCAACAAAGCAAACAAAAACAUAAAGUGGGGAAACGACACCCUAUUCAACAAAUGGUGCUGGGAUAAUUGACAAGCCACAUGUAGGAGAAUGAAACUGGAUCCUUAUCUCUCACCUUAUAUAAAAAUCAACUCAAGAUGGAUCGAUGACUUAAAUCUAAGACCUGAAACUAUAAAAAUUCUAGAAGACAACAUUGGAAAAGCCCUUCUAGACAUCGGCUUAGGCAAGGAUUUCAUGAUCAAGAACCCAAAAGCAAAUUUAAUAAAAACAAAAACAAAUAGCUGGGACUUAAUUAAACUAAAGAGCUUUUGCACUGCAAAAGGAACAGUCUGCAGAGUAGACAGACAACCCACAGAGUGGGAGAAAGUCUUCACAAUCUGUAUAUCUGACAAAGGACUAAUAUCCAGAAUCUACAACAAACUCAAACAAAUUAGCAAGAAAAAACAAACAAUCCCAUCAAAAAGUGGGCUUAAGGACAUGAAUAGACAAUUCUCAAAGGAGGGCAUACAAAUGGCCAACAAACAUAUGAAAAAAUGCUCAACAUCACUAAUGAUCAGGGAAAUGCAAAUAUUUGUAUUUUAAACAAAAAGGAAUAAAUGCACAGUGAAAAGGAUUAACAGGAAGAGCAAGCACAAAUAGGACCAUCUCUAGAAAACCCCUCCUUGAUUAUCCCAGGCAGAUGUUCUCAGUGCCUCCCAAGCUUCUUCAUGGCUUAAAAAAAUUGUACUGAAAUCCAUAACAUAAAAUUUACUAUUUUAAUUGUUUUUAAAAUGUACAGUUUAGUGGCAUUACGUAUGUUCUCAUUGCAUAGCCACCACCACCAUCCAUUUCCAGAACGUUUUCAUCAUCUGAAACAGAAAUCCUUUACUCAUGAAACAAUAACUCCAUAUUCCCCCUCCCUCAUAGCCCCUGGUAAUGAUUCUUCUACUUUAUGUCUCUAUAAAUGUGACUAUUCUAGGGAUCUCAUGUAAGUGGAAUAAUACAAUAUUUGUCCUUUUGGGCCUAGCUUAAUUAACUUGGCAUAAUGUCCACAAGGUUCAUCUAUGUUGUAACGUGUCAGAAUUUCCUUCUGGCUGAAUUAAAUUUAUUGUUAUGUAUACACCACAUUUUGUUGAUCCAUUCAUCUAUCAAUGGAUAUUUGAAUUGUUUCCAACUUUUGGCUAUUGUGAA